rnacentral:rRNA from 1 species
UACGUAGGUGGCAAGCGUUGUCCGGAUUUACUGGGCGUAAAGGAUGCGUAGGCGGACAUUUAAGUCAGAUGUGAAAUACCCGAGCUUAACUUGGGUGCUGCAUUUGAAACUGGGUGUCUAGAGUGCAGGAGAGGUAAGUGGAAUUCCUAGUGUAGCGGUGAAAUGCGUAGAGAUUAGGAAGAACACCAGUGGCGAAGGCGGCUUUCUGGACUGUAACUGACGCUGAGGCAUGAAAGCGUGGGGAGCAAACAGG